UUGGAGGGCAAGUCUGGUGCCAGCAGCCGCGGUAAUUCCAGCUCCAAUAGCGUAUAUUAAAGUUGUUGCAGUUAAAAAGCUCGUAGUUGAAUUUCGGGAUCAAUGUUUCGGUCAUGCCGUUGGUAUGUACUGAUAUUAUUGAUUUCUCACCUUCUAAAGAACCGUAAUGCCAUUAAUUUGGUGUCACGGGGAAUUAGGACUGUUACCUUGAAAAAAUUAGAGUGUUUAAAGCAGGCUCACGCUUGAAUACAUUAGCAUGGAAUAAUGAAAUAGGACGUUUGAUUCUAUUUUGUUGGUUUCUAGGAUCGACGUAAUGAUUAAUAGGGAUAGUUGGGGGCAUUAGUAUUCAAUUGUCAGAGGUGAAAUUCUUGGAUUUAUUGAAGACUAACUACUGCGAAAGCAUUUGCCAAGGAUGUUUUCAUUAAUCAAGAACGAAAGUUAGGGGAUCGAAGACGAUCAGAUACCGUCGUAGUCUUAACCAUAAACUAUGCCGACUAGGGAUCGGAUGAUGUUAAUUUUUUAAUGACUCAUUCGGCGCCUUACGGGAAAC
rnacentral:rRNA from 1 species